CUUUCGAUCUUUACCACAAGUAAAAUGGAUGGAGGAGGUGAUGAGGAAGAGUUUGAUAAGUCCAAGUCUGAAGUGAAUGAUGAUGAGGAAGACGGCAGUGGAGAGGUUUGUCAACGU